rnacentral:rRNA from 1 species
AGGGAAGGAAAGAAUCAAACAGGGUAUUGCCUCAGUAACGGCGAGUGAAGCGGCAAAAGCUCAAAUUUUAAAGCUGGCACCUUCGGUGUCCGCGUUGUAAUUUUGUGAGGCAUCUCCGGGUAGGGCGCCGGCCUAAGUUCCUUGGAACAGGACGUCAUAGAGGGUGAGAAUCCCGUGCUUGGCUGGCUGUCCCCGUCCAUGUGAGGUGUCUUCGACGAGUCGAGUUGUUUGGGAAUGCAGCUCAAAAUGGGUGGUAAAUUUCAUCUAAAGCUAAAUAUUGGUGGGAGACCGAUAGCGCACAAGUAGAGUGAUCGAAAGAUGAAAAGCACUUUGAAAAUAGAGUUAAAAAGUACGUGAAAUUGUUGAAAGGGAAGCGCUUGAGACCAGACUUCGGUGGGGGGUGAUCAGCUGUCCUUCUGGGCGGUGCACUUGCUCCCCUCCGGGCCAGCAUCGGUUGGGGCGGCGGGAUAAAGAUCACGGGAAUGUGGCUCCUUUCGGGGAGUGUUAUAGCCCGGGUGAAUGCCGCCAGCUCCGACCGAGGACCGCGCCUUCGGGCUAGGAUGCUUGGCAUAAUGGUCUUCAGCGACCCGUCUUGAAACACGGACCAAGGAGUCUAACAUCUAUGCGAGUGUUUGGGUGUCAAACCCUUACGCGAAAUGAAAGUGAACGGAGGUGGGAACCCGCAAGGGCGCACCAUCGACCGGUCCUGAAGUCUUCUGAAGGAUCUGAGUAGGAGCAUAGCUGUUGGGACCCGAAAGAUGGUGAACUAUGCCUGAAUAGGGUGAAGCCAGAGGAAACUCUGGUGGAGGCUCGCAGCGGUUCUGACGUGCAAAUCGAUCGUCAAAUUUGGGUAUAGGGGCGAAAGACUAAUCGAACCAUGCCAAGUCGU